AUUGAACGCUGGCGGCAUGCCUUACACAUGCAAGUCGAACGGCAGCACGGGUGCUUGCACCUGGUGGCGAGUGGCGAACGGGUGAGUAAUACAUCGGAACAUGUCCUGUAGCGGGGGAUAGCCCGGCGAAAGCCGGAUUAAUACCGCAUACGAUCUACGGAUGAAAGCGGGGGACCUUCGGGCCUCGCGCUAUAGGGUUGGCCGAUGGCUGAUUAGCUAGUUGGUGGGGUAAAGGCCUACCAAGGCGACGAUCAGUAGCUGGUCUGAGAGGACGACCAGCCACACUGGGACUUAGACACGGCCCAGACUCCUACGGGAGGCAGCAGUGGGGAAUUUUGGACAAUGGGCGAAAGCCUGAUCCAGCAAUGCCGCGUGUGUGAAGAAGGCCUUCGGGUUGUAAAGCACUUUUGUCCGGAAAGAAAUCCUUGGCCCUAAUACGGUCGGGGGAUGACGGUACCGGAAGAAUAAGCACCGGCUAACUACGUG
rnacentral:rRNA from 1 species